rfam:Neotoma lepida isolate 417 scaffold_169, whole genome shotgun sequence.
AGACAGAUGGCUCAGCAGUUAAGAGCACUGACGGAUGUUCCAGAGGACCCGGGUUCAAUUCCCAGGCUGUCCA